GGGCGCACGGUGGAUGCCUUGGC
rnacentral:rRNA from 1 species